rnacentral:rRNA from 1 species
GACGAACGCUGGCGGCGCGCCUAACACAUGCAAGUCGAACGAGCGAGAGGAGGUUUACUUUCUCACGCGAGUGGCGAACGGGUGAGUAACGCGUGAGGAACCUGCCUCAGAGAGGGGGACAACAGUUGGAAACGACUGCUAAUACCGCAUAAGAGCACGACCUGCAAUCGGGUAGAGGGAAAAGUUGCGCUCCGCGUUGAGAUGGCCUCGCGUCCGAUUGGGUAGGUGGUGGGGUAAUGGCCCACCACGGCGACGAACGGUGGCCGGACUGAGGUGUGGAAACACUGCAUUGGGGCUGAGGCACGGCCCAGACUCCUACGGGAGGCAGCAGUAGAGAAUAUUGCGCAAUGGGGCAAACCCUGAUGCAGCGGCGCCGCGGAGAACAAGAAGGUCUUCGGAUUGUAAACUCCUGUGUGAGAGGAAGAUAAUGACGGUACUCAACAAAGAAGUGACGGCUAACUACGUG